rnacentral:snoRNA from 1 species
UGCCAAUGAUGAGUUGCCAUGCUAAUACCGACGCAGCAGCAAAGAGCUUAGUACUCUAUGUUGGCAGCGGGUGAGUGUAGCAAACCUACUGAGGCUGCCAUUUUGGGCAG